rnacentral:tRNA from 1 species
GGCCUGAUGGUCUAGGAGUAUGAUUCAUUGUUAGGGUUGAUUACAUUGUUACUAUUCUUUUGACGAGGUCCCGGGUUCAAUUCCCGGUCAGGCCC